CAGUCGCCGCGGUAACACGAACCGUGCGAACGUUAUUCGGAAUCACUGGGCUUAAAGCGCGUGUAGGCGGGCCGCCGCGUCGGCUGCUGAAAUCCCCCGGCUCAACCGGGGAACGGGCACCGAUACGGGCGGCCUCGAGGGGGGUAGGGGGACCUGGAACUUCCGGUGGAGCGGUGAAAUGCGUUGAGAUCGGAAGGAACGCCCGUGGCGAAAGCGAGGUCCUGGACCCUUUCUGACGCUGAGACGCGAAAGCCAGGGGAGUGAACGGGAUUAGAGACCCGCGUAGUCCCUGUCUCUUAUA
rnacentral:rRNA from 1 species